GACGAGCCACCCAAACGUUAUUCGGAAUCACUGGGCUUAAAGCGUGCGUAGGCGGCCUGCAAAGUUGGGUGUGAAAUCCCUCGGCCUAACCGAGGAAUUGCGCCCAAAACUAGUGGGCUAGAGGGUGAUAGAGGCGGGUGGAAUUCCGGGUGUAGUGGUGAAAUGCGUAGAGAUCCGGAGGAACACCAGUGGCGAAGGCGACCCGCUGGGUCACACCUGACACUGAGACGCGACAGCAUGGGGAGCGAACGGG
rnacentral:rRNA from 1 species